rnacentral:rRNA from 1 species
UACAGAGGUGCCGAGCGUUAGGCGGAAUCGACUGGGCUUAAAGCGUGUGUAGGCUGGACCUUCUAAGUAACCCUUGGUGAAAUCCCACGGCUCACCGUGGAACUGCUGGGUAGUACUGGUCGUUCUUGGAGCCACCUAGGGGACCAGCGGAACAAAUGGUGGAGCGGUGAAAAUGCGUAGAGUAUCAUUUGGAACGCCAACGGUGAAAACAG